rnacentral:rRNA from 1 species
UACGUAGGGUGCAAGCGUUAUCCGGAAUUAUUGGGCGUAAAGAGCUCGUAGGCGGUUUUGUCGCGUCUGCUGUGAAAACUGGAGGCUCAACCUCCAGCCUGCAGUGGGGUACGGGGCAGACUAGAGUGCGGUAGGGGGAGACUGGAAUUCCUGGUGUAGCGGUGAAAUGCGCAGAUAUCAGGGAGGAACACCCAAUGGGCGAAGGCAGCUCGCUGGGGACGUGACUGACGCUGGAGAACGCGAAAAGCGUGGGGGAGCAAACAGG